rnacentral:rRNA from 1 species
CACGUAGGGGGGCAAGCGUUGUCCGGAUUUAUUGGGCGUAAAGAGCUCGUAGGCGGUUCGGUAAGUCGGGUGUGAAACCUCCAGGCUCAACCUGGAGACGCCACCCGAUACUGCUGUGACUAGAGUCCGGUAGGGGAGCGUGGAAUUCCUGGUGUAGCGGUGAAAUGCGCAGAUAUCAGGAGGAACACCAGCGGCGAAGGCGGCGCUCUGGGCCGGAACUGACGCUGAGGAGCGAAAGCGUGGGGAGCAAACAGG